CUUACCUGGUCUUGACAUCCACAGAACUUUCCAGAGAUGGAUUGGUGCCUUCGGGAACUGUGAGACAGGUGCUGCAUGGCUGUCGUCAGCUCGUGUUGUGAAAUGUUGGGUUAAGUCCCGCAACGAGCGCAACCCUUAUCCUUUGUUGCCAGCGGUUCGGCCGGGAACUCAAAGGAGACUGCCAGUGAUAAACUGGAGGAAGGUGGGGAUGACGUCAAGUCAUCAUGGCCCUUACGACCAGGGCUACACACGUGCUACAAUGGCAUAUACAAAGAGAAGCGACCUCGCGAGAGCAAGCGGACCUCAUAAAGUAUGUCGUAGUCCGGAUUGGAGUCUGCAACUCGACUCCAUGAAGUCGGAAUCGCUAGUAAUCGUAGAUCAGAAUGCUACGGUGAAUACGUUCCCGGGCCUUGUACACACCGCCCGUCACACCAUGGGAGUGGGUUGCAAAAGAAGUAGGUAGCUUAACCUUCGGGAGGGCGCUUACCACUUUGUGAUUCAUGACUGGGGUGAAGUCGUAACAAGGUAACCGUAGGGGAACCUGCGGUUGGAUCACCUCCUU
rnacentral:rRNA from 1 species